UGCAAGUCGAACGAAUCGGUCGGUGCUUGCACCGGUCGGUUAGUGGCGAACGGGUGAGUAACACGUGAGCAACCUGCCCUUGACUCUGGGAUAACCCCGGGAAACCGGAGCUAAUACCGGAUACGAACCACACAGGCAUCUGUGCGGUUGGAAAGAAUUUCGGUCAAGGAUGGGCUCGCGGCCUAUCAGCUUGUUGGUGAGGUAACGGCCCACCAAGGCGACGACGGGUAGCCGGCCUGAGAGGGCGACCGGCCACACUGGGACUGAGACACGGCCCAGACUCCUACGGGAGGCAGCAGUGGGGAAUAUUGCGCAAUGGGCGAAAGCCUGACGCAGCGACGCCGCGUGAGGGAUGAAGGCCUUCGGGUUGUAAACCUCUUUCAGCAGGGAAGAAGCGAAAGUGACGGUACCUGCAGAAGAAGCACCGGCUAACUACGUGCCAGCAGCCGCGGUAAUACGUAGGGUGCAAGCGUUGUCCGGAAUUAUUGGGCGUAAAGAGCUCGUAGGCGGUCUGUCGCGUCUGCUGUGAAAACCUAGGGGCUUAACCCUGGGCCUGCAGUGGGUACGGGCAGACUAGAGUGCGGUAGGGGAGACUGGAAUUCCUGGUGUAGCGGUGAAAUGCGCAGAUAUCAGAGGAACACCGGUGGCGAAGGCGGGUCUCUGGGCCGUAACUGACGCUGAGGAGCGAAAGCAUGGGUAGCGAACAGGAUUAGAUACCCUGGUAGUCCAUGCCGUAAACGUUGGGCGCUAGGUGUGGGGCUCAUUCCACGAGUUCCGUGCCGCAGCAAACGCAUUAAGCGCCCCGCCUGGGGAGUACGGCCGCAAGGCUAAAACUCAAAGGAAUUGACGGGGCCCCGCACAAGCGGCGGAGCAUGCGGAUUAAUUCGAUGCAACGCGA
rnacentral:rRNA from 1 species